rfam:Rattus norvegicus chromosome 13, whole genome shotgun sequence.
GGGGAUUUAGCUCAGUGGUAGAGCGCUUGCCUAGCAAGUGCAAGGCCCUGGGUUCGGUUCCCAGCUCCG